AUUGAACGCUGGCGGCCUGCUUUACACAUGCAAGUCGAACGAGUGGCGAACGGGUGAGUACUAUAUCGGAACGUACCGAGUAAUGGGGGAUAACCAAUCGCAAGAUUGGCUAAUACCGCAUAUUAUUCGAGCGGCCGAUAACUUAUUAGCUAGUUGGUGGGGAAAAGGCCUACCAAGGCGACGAGCAGUAGCGGGUCUGAGAGGACGAUCAGCCACACUGGGACUGAGAAACGGCCCAGACGCCUAGUGGAGGCAGCAGUGGGGAAUUUUGGACAAUGGGGGCAACCCUGAUCCAGCCAUGCCGCGGGUAUGAAGAAGGCCUGCGGGUUGUAAAGUACUUUUGUUAGGGAAGCGGUACCUAAAGAAUAAGCACCGGCUAACUACGUGCCAGCAGCCGCGGUAAUU
rnacentral:rRNA from 1 species